GAUGAACGCUGGCGGCGUGCCUAAUACAUGCAAGUCGAGCGAACGGACGAGAAGCUUGCUUCUCUGAUGUUAGCGGCGGACGGGUGAGUAACACGUGGAUAACCUACCUAUAAGACUGGGAUAACUUCGGAAAACCGGAGCUAAUACCGGAUAAUAUUUUGAGCCGCAUGGUUCAAAAGUGAAAGACGGUCUUGCUGUCACUUAUAGAUGGAUCCGCGCUGCAUUAGCUAGUUGGUAAGGUAACGGCUUACCAAGGCAACGAUGCAUAGCCGACCUGAGAGGGUGAUCGGCCACACUGGAACUGAGACACGGUCCAGACUCCUACGGGAGGCAGCAGUAGGGAAUCUUCCGCAAUGGGCGAAAGCCUGACGGAGCAACGCCGCGUGAGUGAUGAAGGUCUUCGGAUCGUAAAACUCUGUUAUUAGGGAAGAACAUAUGUGUAAGUAACUGUGCACAUCUUGACGGUACCUAAUCAGAAAGCCACGGCUAACUACGUG
rnacentral:rRNA from 1 species